AGCAUUUAUUUGUGUCUUUGAUAAUCUGUAACAAAGCCAUACAGACAGGUGAAGUAAAUCCUCGUUUGCACCCCAGAACUCAUUGCUAAGAAUGACAUUUUGGUACACGUAAGAAGGAAUAUG
ensembl:snoRNA